UGUUUCCCUGAGAACAGCAAGAAGAAGGUGAAAAUCAUCUUUUGAAUUCGAGAGCCCAGGAGUGCCACGUGUGAAUUUAAUUUUACAGCAGAACCUAUGGCACAGAGUUCCCCCGAUGCUUGAAGAGGAUCAGGACCUGCUUGGAGGGCUCAGGAAUCCCACCCAAAACUGGAGCUGUUCCCCCAACCCCACUCUGAAAUUGCCAUCAGCAGAAGCUGCAUUGUUUGAACAGGAGCUGAAUUUUGCUGGAAAGGGCUCAGAAGGAGCUGCUGCCUCCCCAGUUUCCUUCUGCAGUGAGAGUUGCCUGAGCUGGGGCUGCUUUGGCCUGCAUUAAUAUUUACAGACCUGGUUUAUGGAUCUGAAGAUUGAUUUAGCACGAGAGUAAUGCAGGGGAGCAGAUGAGCCAUGGGAAUGGUGAGCUCUGCUUUGCUGAGAUUCAUAAAUCCAAAAGCCACGCUGAGGUGAAGAGCUUUCAGAGGAGCAGCACCUAAUGCCUGAGAAUCAUUGGAUGUCUGAAGUCUUAAACAAGUUGGAAACUCAUCUUUCACAGGGAUAUGGAAAAUAAUCUUGCUGGGAGGAAGAGAGCUCAAGGGAGAAUAUAGAUGUCCUGUUAAUCAGGACAUAAAAAAGAAAGGAGAAGCUGUGAUGUGACAGUGACUGGUGGGAGAAAAUCUGGCAAACAGCAGAGAGAAGAUCGGGAGAUAUGACAAUUUGGGAAAUAGAAGUAUCAGGCAAAAUGCAGAAAGGAUCCCUUUAGCUGCAAAUCCAGAACAAGAAAGAAGUUUUGGGAUGUUCUUUACAGGAGCACAAGAACAAGAAAUCAUGGUGGUGCCAUGAAGAGCUGGAAUUCCUGAGCCUGUGUGGAAGGGCUGUCUCCUCCUCCUCCUCCUCCUCCUCCUCCUCCUCCUCUGCUAGGAGUUGGCUUUGCCUUUCCAUUCCUCAUGGCCAAGAUUUCCUGACCAAACUAUCUUUUUCCUGACCAAAGUUUCUUUUUCCUGAGCAAAUUAGAGCCCAGUUCUGCUGCAGCACUCAGCACCAGGUCAGCCCCAGCCCAUGAUGAGUGCUCAGAAACCACAAGACUCAGUCCUCAACGGAUGCUUGACAGGUGCUUUUAAUGCAGCUGAGUCUCUGCUGGAGCUCUGAGCAGUUCUGAGGCAGUGGUGUCCCCUUGGAUGAAGAAACAUCACCCAGGAAACACCAACAGGGAUCAAGAGUAGCUUGACCAUCUCCUCAACCAGAGAAAUCCCAUCUAGAGGUAAAGGGAAGUUCCUAGCUGACUCCUUUCCACACUGACCACACACCCUGGUCCAGUGCUCAGCCAGCUGGAAACAAGAGGGUACAGAAAGAUCCUUUUUGACUUAUGUGCAACUUUCUUUUGGCAUCUUGGGCUCUCCAGCACUAAACACAAAUGAAAGUAAAAUAUCUGCAAAAAAACCCCAACACUCUCAAAAAACUUUUAAGAGCACCCAGUGCAAACCCUGCUCAAAGAGGGCUGGACAGAGCCAUUGCUCAGGAUUGUGUCCAUUCAGGUUUGAGCAUCUCCCCAGAAUCAUCAGGGAGGUGUUAACACGACUGAACAGCUGCUACAGCCAAAAAGCAAUUACGGUUUCAGCAGGACAUGGUUUGCUUAACAAGGCCUUCCCAUUUUUCCUGAUGACUGCUGGAACAGAGCAGGGAUUUAGGAGGAGCGGAAGAAACAGAAUUGGACUCUUUAAAUAAUUACAAACUUCUUCAUCCUGUGUAGUGCCUGCACAGUGUGGAACCUGAGCAGGUCCUCAGAAGAGAUUUAGGGAAAUGUUGAGUCUGGUGAUGAAUAACCAGUGAAAAAUCUUCCCCCGGAUAUCCCAGCUGGAAUUCCAGCACGAGCUCACCCCAAGCUCUGCCACGUUUGGUGUGGAGGAGCAGAUGUCCAACGCUGCUCCAAGAGCAGCACGUGGGGCAGCACUUGCUGUUGGAUUUGUGACUGUGUGGUUUCUGCUUGGGGAGCUGUUUGCAAACACAACUCAGUUUCUCUGCCAGCUCACCCCUCGACCUUCUGCUGAGAGUGACAUUCUAGCACCAGCUCUGGCGGCAGUUUGGGAUGUGGAUAUUUAUCCACUGCAGCUCUGGACCAAGCCCAUCGAUUCCCUGCGUGCAGAGGAUGAAAUGAGCCACUGGGCAGCUCUGACUUCCAGCCCUUGCUGGCUGGGGUCAGCAGGGAGCCAGCGCCCUUUCCGUGGAUGACACCAUGGCCUGUCACAGAGCUCUCAUUUAAAACACUCCUCUCAAAUAGAUGAAGAUACGCCCUAAUCACUAAUCAAAGAGCAGCUUUAAUGCCUCAAAAAUGUGGAGCAAGCUGCAGGCAUCAGAAUAAAUUACAACUGAAUUUGAGCAGUCAUUGAGUAAAAAGUUCAGGGGCCAUGCCAGGGAGAGCCCUGGGAGUGGGUGAUCCAUCAUUAAUUCAGCCUGGGAGGUCACUCCUGCAAUGCUCCAAAUGCCCAUUAAACAUUUACAGCUUUUUAUUUUUACAGCUCUGUGCCGCAUUCAGGGUGAUGGGCACAUUUUACAGAGCUGUUUUGUUCAGUUCUGCACGGCACAAGCUAAGGGUGUGAUUAACACACAAUUAUACGCAAACCUGGAUCUGUGGGUGUGCAGAGAGCACUGGGGUGAUUUUUGUUUUCUCUCAUUCCAUUGCUUGCACUGCUCUUUCCCCUCCUGCUUUCACUGGGCCUUGGCAAGGGUAGACCCCAAGGCAAAAUGCCUGCAGGCUUUCCUGCCUGUGCCUUUCCUUCCUGAACUCUGACAUCCCAAAUAAUUCAGCAGGAACACCUCAGACCAGUUCCUUCCCUUCUCUCUCCUUACUCCCCUUCCUCUUCCUUGCAGCUUUAUUGCCUUUAUUAAGGCUAAACAUUAAUAAAACACCAUUUGAAUUCUUGAUUUAAAAAACCACACGAAAAAGCUUUUUUGGGGGACAAAGGCUUUGGGGGGGGAUGAUAGAAUAUAAGGAAAUGAAGAUAGUGCAGAAGGUAAUCUCAGCCCUGAAGAGUUGCAGCUGUAUUAAUUACCACAGAUUAGGAACAGGCCACAGCUGUGUCUAAUAAGGAUGAGAGCUAUAAAAGAGUGAGUUAGGGGGUGAGGAGAGGGUUGGAGUUUGUUUGCUGUGAGGAAGGAGUUGGUGCUGCAAGGAGCUGCUUGUGAAGCCUCACUGAGAAGGUAUGGCACUUUUGCAAUGAGAUAACAACCUGAAUUCACUGUUAAUUUUGGUUUUGAGGUUGGUCCUGUGUGGUUUUGAGCAGAUAAAUGCAGCUGAUGCUCAGCAUGGUGCAGCACAGCACUUUGCACAAUCCCAUGCACCAGGGCUCACCUGCAGGGAGGCAAAGCCUUGGUGCUUGCUGGCAUUCCAGGUAAUCAGGCAAAGAAAACACCAGAGAGCCCAAAAUUACCUCUUUUUGUCAGUGCUCGCCCUGCAAAGCUGAACUUUUCUCUUAAAACACCAACAGUUUUCAGAAGUUUGUUGUGGCAAAGAGUUCUUGGAGAUUUUCCUUCUCUAAAAAUAGAAACUCUUAUUUAUAGGAAUUAAACUAUCAUGCAUUAAAGAAAAUUAUUGCACCAAACAUAACUUUUUCUUGAAGAUAAAAAUAAAAUGCUUUACGGUUACGUGUUCAAACAGUUGAUUUAUUCAUGCAUAUAAAUCUUCCCAAGGAUGUGUGCAUUUUCAGUAUCUUUUUUAUGCCUUAAUUUGCCGCUUAUUCCAGAGUGCCUUUGUUAGAAAAAUCCAUGUAAUGUCUUAAAAAUAUCAAUUUGUGGUACUCAAAUAGUAAAAAAAUGAAAUUAGAGGUUUGUGAUGCAUCUUUCCAUCUGUUUUUACCUGCACAAAACUUAGGAACAGUGAGAAGAAAAUGUCACUUCAUGUCUAGUAAGUGCACACCUGAUGAGGGAAUUGGCUGCUCAGGCUCAUAAAAUGGCUUGGACUUAAUAAAGCUGGAUUGGCUCUCAGCUGCUUCCUGAAGGAACAAAGUUUGGUGUGUGAGGCU